ensembl:lncRNA
AGCUUUUGGCCAAAAGAGAGGGACCAACGGAGAGUGGCUACACUUAUGCAAUGGAAAGAAGACGAGGGAAAGCUGGACCGAACGGAAGGAAAGAGGAGAGCUUUAUUUCAAGGAAACUGCUGCAAACCGGCGCUGAGGGAAAACCUGCCACUUUGAAAUAAGAGGGGCGGCGACAGAACCAGAGCAGUGGGCCGGGCCUGUGGUGCUACUCUGAGAAGAAGAAACCCGGCGCCUGGAAACAAAUGUUACGGCACGUGAUGCUUUGUUGUGUUCUGCUGCCGUGGCAACAGCGAAGAUCACAAGGGGGGCGCCCCCACUCUGAAAUUCCUUCCCCCUCCCUGGAAAAGUGUGGAAUAAAAAACACGCACAGCAGUUCCACACUGAUACGUGCGUGAAUGUACGUGUGGCAGCACGGAGAACACGGGCG